AGACACUGGAGUUACAGCAGAAAACUCAGAGUGGUGUGUCGGUCCAGUGUGUCAGCGGUGCUGCUGAUUCUUAACUCAUGGAUCUUCUGUAUUACACUGACCACAGAACCAGCCCUCAGUCACAGGGGAUACACUGACCACAGAACCAGCCCUCAGUUACAGGUGUCACACUGACCACAGAACCAUUCCCAGGCCACAGAUCAAGAAUAAAAUCUGUCUUUGGACAUGGCAGCCAUGGCAGCAGGAAUGUGCAGUGACUGGUCAUACCAUAUCCACUGUCAAGAAGCAGAGAGAGGUGAGAGCUGGAUCUACGGAUCAGUUUCCCUCUCAACUCUUCAACUCCAUCUGGAUCUUUACUGGAAGCAUACGAGAAAGCUUGCCGGUUCUUCUGAAGAGCAGGACAUCCUGGCAGCACAGUGUUGUCUCCAUCAUCUAAAAUUUCUCAGUGCUAAGCUUUUACAUUUUAUCCACGAUAGCCCCUGUCUUUCCUGUUGCAGCUAUUCAUGGGCGCUUUGGAGCAUCAUCACUGGAGGGGCGUCUGUUGUGUGAUGGGCUGUUACAAGUGUGGAAAAGUCUUACUGGCUUCACAUAAAGGUUCUAAUAAUAUCU
ensembl:lncRNA LOC108348724 uncharacterized LOC108348724